UACAGAGGGGGCAAGCGUUGUUCGGAAUUACUGGGCGUAAAGGGCGCGUAGGCGGCCUUCUAAGUCGAACGUGAAAUCCCCGGGCUCAACCCGGGAACUGCGUCCGAUACUGGAAGGCUUGAAUCCGGGAGAGGGAUGCGGAAUUCCUGGUGUAGCGGUGAAAUGCGCAGAUAUCAGGAGGAACACCGGUGGCGAAGGCGGUUCUCUGGGCCUUACCUGACGCUGAGGAGCGAAAGCAUGGGGAGCAAACAGG
rnacentral:rRNA from 1 species